rnacentral:lncRNA from 1 species
AUUAUGAAGGGAUCACCCUGUGGGAAGCACUGUCACCAGUGGGGAAGGAGUGGGGAGGAGCUGAAGGAUGCACUCCCCCUCCACUCCUCCCUCCAUUGGAUCACCCCAGGCAGUUUUCCUGUACAUUCUAACAGAGACAUACCAUGGCUCCCAGCCAACACCAGGGCCAGAAUGUGUGACUGACCGUAUAGCUUAUCUUUCCUGCCUUCCCUCCUCUUUCAGUCUCACUGCUCUGAGAUUGUACCUUCCAGUAACAAACAUUUAAACCUUGCCCCAGCUUUAUUUCCUCGGGAGGCUGGGCUUAGAUUGAGGCUAAGCAAAGAGUGGUUAUGAGAAUUAAACAGGUGGAUGCAUGAAAGAGCACUUGGAGCUGCCCCUGACUUUGCAAUCACUGGUGGACUUGAGCUGCCAUCGUGAUGGAAAAGCUAUUCAUCUGGCUGCCAGUCUCUUGAGUGAUGUGGUCCCACAUGCUUUGCCUGCCUCUGCCAUGGCCACCACCCCAAUCCUGCCCUGGUCUUUCUCCCUUCCAGGCUUUCUCGUAUGCUUUCAUCUCUGCCUUGAACAUUCAUUCAUGAAUUCAUUCAUUUAUUCUUUCAAAUUCAGAUGGAUUUGUUGGGCAUCCACUCAACAAACUGAACAACCCCAGAUGAAGUUCCUGGUCUGACAUCACAUCUAGUGACACCUACAUUUUCACCUUGUGAAGCACCCUUCCCCUUCAGUUCUCAGGGUUGGGGGCUCUGUCACAGUCUCCCCCACACCUGUGUCUCCCUCUGCAACUGCAUUUGUAGCUCUCUGUUCACUCACUGCUCUCCCCCACCCAAAUGUGAAAUGCAGGAUCCUGCCUGUAGUUGAUGCUGAGGAAAUUCAUCACACGACCUGCAUUUAUUAAGCCACCCGCUCUGUGUCAGGCCCUGGGACUAUUCUAGCAGCAGAUUGGAGCAGUGACUUAGGCAUCCAUGCCCUCAUGGAACCCACUCACUAGUUAAGGGUAGGGACAAAUAGUAAAGGAUUCAGUGAAAAGUGGGGGGAAGAAAAUGAAGCAGCAGAGGGGUCUAGGAGGCGUUGAGAGUGGUGUGGAGAAUAUUUUAAACAGAGUAGGGUAGAGGAGGAUUUGAGAAAGACAUUUAAAUAAAUAUCUGAAGGGAGGGAUGGAGGCAACCAUGUUUAUAACUUGGGGAAGAGCAUUCUAGGGAGAGGCAACAGCCAGUGCAAAGGCCCUGAGGUAGGAGAGUGAAUGAUGUGUGUGAGCAUCUGCAAGGAAUCCAGCAUGGCUGAUGUGGGGUGAGCAAAGGGGUGAGGCAUAGUGGAUGAGGUCAGAGAAGUGAUGGGAGCCAGAUUACGUAGGACUUUAUAAAGAUGUUGGCUUUAACUCAGAAAGAUUUGGGAGCCAUUCUGGGUGACCAACCAUCCCACUUUGCCCAGACUGAGAAAGCUCCCAGAGCACAGGACUUUCAAUGCUAAGACCAGGAACGUCCACGGCAAACCAGAAUGAGGCAGUCAGCCUAGAGCCCUUGCAGGGUUUGUAGCGGAGCUAUGAUGCAAUCUGACUUGAGGAUCACUCUGGUUGCUGGAUAGACUCAAAGGACAAGAGCAGAAUCAGCGAGAUUAGUUGGGGACCACUAAUCCAGAUGAGGGAUAAAGGUGGCUCAGACCAGAGUGGUCACAGUGGAGGUGGAGAGAAGUGAUGAACUUCUCAGCAGAUGAUAAAGCAGAGCCAACUGGAAAUGUUUGAUGGAGAUGUGAGUGCCUGUCCCCUGCAUUGAUAGCCUGGCAGGUGACCUCCUGGCAGGUGACAUGCCCGGCUGCCAUGGAUGAGAUGAGGAGUAGGUGCUUCUCUGUCUUUCCUGGGGUUCUGCUCUGCCUCACCUCUUCCUUGCUGGAAGGGACCAAGAAAGAGUGACUACCUGUACCUCCUGAGCACCCUUCAGGAUGCUGUCAUUGUGGCCCUGUGCUGGGGAUGCAGACAAGGCAAGGCAUGGACCCCUUAUUACAGAUGGGGAAACAAAAGCUCAGAGAAUAAUAUGCCCCUGGGCACCCAGCAAGCUGAGUUAACACCCCUCAUUGGGUGUCAGGCUGGCCUGGGUUUCAGUGCCAACCUCAACGGAGUAUAACUCACCUGGGGCACUGCUGAGCAAUCAUUUUCUCUUCUUUGAAAUGGAGACAGUGACUCCCAUGUCAGCUUCAUCAUCAUCACGAAUGAAGGAGACAGUGUGCAUGAAAGUGUCCGGCAUGGGGCCUGACACACAGUAGGCCCUCAGUAAUGUCAGUUUCCCUUUCUUUCCCUGGAUCCUUCUCCCAGCCUUCCUUAGUUAAAGGAUAUUCUUAAGGACAGUUUUCCCAGAGCCCAGCGGAGCCAUUCUGUUCAACCAAGUGGGGAAUAUUUACAUCUUCUUUUCUAAAGGCAAAUGAUUUCCUUCAGAUGCCGAAUUAGUUCCCAAGUGGCCUUCAGGCUGUCUUGUAAAUACAGAGAUACGAGUGUUAACGGAGACCCUAUUUGUCCAGCAAACCAGAACAGAGAUGCUUGAGGGCUGUAAAUAUCAGGACUGCGUUUCUCCCAGCGAGAAAUUUCUUUCACUCUUGCUCUCUCCCUCUUCAAACACUCAUUCUUCUGUUCAUUCACGAAUCCUUUCAACAAACACAUAUUGAGCACCUGUCAUGUGCCUGGCACUCUGCAGGGCACUGGGAAACCAGGCAGGAACAAGAGGGACAGGGUCCUGUCCUCAUGGCACUUAUAGUCCAGUGAUUAUGAGACAAGACACUUAAAUGUCAACCACCGUGCUUGGUGCAUAAGAAAAUGACAAUAGUAAUAAUAAUAGUUCAUAUUGCUUCUUUAACUGACAUCAUCUUUACCUGCAAUGAAACGCUCAGAUCUGAAGUUCCCAGAAAUUUCUCUCAUGCUCCUUUCUGGUCUGUAAAACUUUUGAUCUCUCCAUCAAUCUGAAGGAGAGCCUUGCUGGGUAGAGUAUUCUUGGUUGUAGACUUUUCACUUUCAUCACUUUAAAUAUAUCAUAAUACUCUCUUCUGGAUUGCAGAAUUUCUGUUGAAAAAUCAGCCAAUAGCUUUAUGGGAGUUCCCUUGUAUGUUAUUUGCUGUUUUGCCUUUGCCACUUUUAAUAUUCUUUUGUCUUUAAUUUUUGUCAUUUCAUUUACAAUGUGUCUUUAUGCAUUCCUCUUUGGGUUCAUCCAGAAUAGGACUUUCUGAGCUUCCUAUACUAGGGUGGCUAUUUUCUUCCCCAAGUUAAGAAAGUUUUCAGCUAUUAUGUCUGCAAAUAUGUUCUCAGACCCUUUCUCUCUCUUCCUUCCAGGAUCCCUAUAAUGCAAAUAUUAAAAUGCACUUGAUGUUCCUUUGAACUGUCUUCUUUUUAUUCUUUUUUCUCUUUUCUGUUCAGUUUCAAUGAUUUCCACUACUCUGUCUUCCAGCUCACUGAUUCACUUCUUUGUAUCAUUUAGUAUACUGUUGAUUCCUUCUAAUGCAUUUUUCAUUUCAGUUAUUGUAUUUUUCAUCUCUGAUUGUUCUUUAUAUUUUCCAACUCUUAAAAACUAACGUCUCUUUGAAAUUCAACUUAUGGUUACCAAAGGGGAAACAUGGGGGGAGGGAUAAAUUGGGAGUUUGGGAUUAACAUAUACAUACCACUAUAUGCAAAACAGAUAGGAGUUCCCGUCAUAGCUCAGUGGUUAAUGAAUCCGACUAGGAACCACAAGGUUGUGGCUUCUAUUCCUGGCCUCACUCAUUGAGUUAAGGAUCUGGCGUUGCUGUGGCUGUGGCAUAGGCUGGCGGCUACAGCUCCAUUUAGACCCCUAUCCUGGGAACCUCCAUCUGCCGCAGGUGCGGCCCUAGAAAAAAGACAAAAGACAAAAAAAUAAAAUAGAGUAAAAUAAAACAGAUAAGUAUCAAGAAGCUACUGUAUAGCACAGAGAAAUCUACUCAAUACUGUUUAAUAACCUAUAUGGGAAAAAUAUCUGAAAAAGGAAUGGAUAUAUUUAUAACUGAUUUACUUUGCUGUACACCUGAAAGUAACACAAAUUUGUAAGUCAACUACACUCCAAUAAAAUUAAAAAUAGAAAAUAAAAAUAAAUUUUAAAAUUUAAAAUAAAAACAAAAAAAAUAAGUUCUUACUCUGUGCAUCCAUUCUUCUCCUGGGUUCUUUGAUCAUCUUUACAAUCACUACCCUGAACUCUUUCUCAGGUAGAUUGCCUACCUCCACUUCACUGUGUUCUUCUUUUGGGGUUUUAUCUUGUUCCUUUGUCUGGAACAUGUUACUCUGUUGCCUCAUUUUGCCUAAGUUGCUAUUUGUAUUUUUACGUAUCUGGUAGGUUAGUUACAGCUCCUGACCUUGGAGAAUUGGCCUCUGUAGGAGGCUUCCUAUACAUCUCAGUAGCACACUGCCCUCUCAUUACCCAAGCUAUAUGCUCCGGGGGUUCCCCCAUGAGGGCUGUGUGAGUCCUUCUGUUGUGGCAGGUUGACUACGUGGGAAGUCUGGUAGGCUUGGUAGGCUCCUGGGCCAGGUGGUUGUCAGGUUCUGCCUUGUGUGGAGGCUACUGGCCACUGACUGAUGGGAUCAGGUCACCAAGCAGCUGAUUGUAGAACCCCAGGGGCUCUGGGGCUACUGCUAGCUCACUGGUGGGUAGAAUCAGGGUCCAGAAGAUUCCAAGGCUGUUGCCACCAACUGAAAUUAGUACCAGAUUACUGGCAGGUAGAGCUGGAUCCUGGAAUCCGGGUGCAGGGAUCAGGGGUUCCAGAGCUGGUGUCAGAGCACUGGUGAGGAAGUCAGUUCCUGACACACCUGGGUACAGGGUCCAAGGUGUCUGGAAGCUUGCACUGGUCUGCUAGUGGGUCUAGCUCUGGGUUGACAGACUCUACAGGCUGCAGGACUGCCGGUUUCUUGCACCCGUAGUUUGCCAGGGUAAGUGGGGCAGGUGCACUGCCCAGCUCCGGCUCGCUGGGGGCGGGGCCAUGCGCAGGGGAUUCUGGGACUGUGGGCGGAGCUGGGUCCUGGGCCCUCUGGUGGUCAGGGCCACAUGCAGAGGCGGCUGUGGGCCCAGGGAAUCUUUGGCCAGCCUGCCUGCUGUUGGGGGGUCGAGUCCCCGCCCAGUUAGUUGCUUGGCCGGUCCCAGCAGCGGCGCCUGCAGGCUGUCGGCCCAGCCAGGCCUUGGCGGUAUCCAGCUGGAGACCUGUGUCAGCGGCCCUCAGAGGAAGGAGCUCCCAACUACGGCUGCUAACAGGGUGAGCGGCAGACCCCUGGCUCCGGAGACCCUCCCAGACCUGCAGGUAGGGCUGGCCCAGAAUUUUACCAAGUUCUGCUCCUGCCCUGGCUCCCGGAGCGUGAGAUUCUGUGCGUGUCCUGUGAGAGUGAAGCCUCUUAUCACCCGCACCCCACACCCUGCCCGGGGCUCUGGCGAUGAAGCCCCACCGGCCUUCAGAGCCAGAUGCCCUGGGGGCUCGUCUUCCUGGGCGGGGAGCUCGGCUAGGGGUCAGCCCCCUCCCUCGUGUGGGAGAACCUCUGCAGUGCAGUUCUCCCGGGCGUGAGCCGCCACCUGGGAGUGUGGAGUUUGGCUUUAUCACGAGACUACCCUCCUACCCGCCUCACUGUGCAUCCUUUAUAUCUGUAGUUGUGGAAGAUCUUUUCUGGGAGGUUCCGGUCUUGUUCGUUGAUGGUUGUUCUGCAAAUAGUGUGAUUUUGGUGUGCCCAUGUUCACAACUCUCUUGCGAGAUAUUUCCACCCUGCCAUCUUGGUUCCCAAUCUAUUUCUACUGCCUUGACUAUCUAGAAAAAUUUAAAAUUACACGCGUGGCUUGUGUGCUGUUUUAUCUCAUGGUGCUGCUUUCGCCCCCACCUGCCUCUGACAUCCAACACCACUUUCUCCUUCACCAGCUCCUGCUACACUGGCCUCCUGUCAGGUCCUUCCCUGCCUCUGAUCCUUUCCUCAUGCUGUUCUUUGUGCCUGGCAUGCUCUUCCCCUUGAAGUCCACGUGUUUGGCUCUGGCUCAUUUCUGCUGAAAUAUCUUCCCCUCUCAGAGUCUAAAUAGGUGUGCCCUGGUUACUUUAUACCUUGCUCUCUUUAUUUUCUUUAUGACCUGAACCACAGGUUGUACUUUAGUUAUUGGUCAGCUAUGUGUUGUCUCUCUCACCCACUAGGCAGUAAAAUCCAUGAGGAUAGCAACUCUUUCUUUCCUGGCAUGAAACAGCAACAAAAAAUAUAAUCGUUAGAGGAAUUCCCUAAAAGGACUUGGGGAGCAAGCUGAAAAAACCCCAAACUUUUGACCAGUGAGCUCAGAUCAUUAAAAUUAAGCUUAGGAGUUCCCAUUGUUGCAUGGUGGAAAAGAACCUGACUAGUAUCCAUGAGGACUUGGUUUCAAUCCCUGGCUUCAUUCAGUGGGUCAAGGAUCUGGGGUUGCCUGAGCUGUGGUGUGGGUCACAGAUGCAGCUCGGACUCUGUGUUGCUGUGGCUGGGGUAUAGGCCAGCAGCUGCAGCUCUGAUUCGACCCU